rnacentral:rRNA from 1 species
UACGAAGGGGGCUAGCGGUGCUCGGAAUCACUGGGCGUAAAGGGUGCGUAGGCGGGUUUUUAAGUCAGGGGUGAAAUCCUGGAGCUCAACUCCAGAACUGCCUUUGAUACUGAAGAUCUUGAGUCCGGGAGAGGUGAGUGGAACUGCGAGUGUAGAGGUGAAAUUCGUAGAUAUUCGCAAGAACACCAGUGGCGAAGGCGGCUCACUGGCCCGGUACUGACGCUGAGGCACGAAAGCGUGGGGAGCAAACAGG